rnacentral:rRNA from 1 species
GACGAACGCUGGCGGCGUGCUUAACACAUGCAAGUCGAACGGAAAGGCCCUGCUUUUGUGGGGUGCUCGAGUGGCGAACGGGUGAGUAACACGUGAGUAACCUGCCCUUGACUUUGGGAUAACUUCAGGAAACUGGGGCUAAUACCGGAUAGGAGCGCCUGCUGCAUGGUGGGGGUUGGAAAGUUUCGGCGGGUGGGGAUGGACUCGCGGCUUAUCAGCUGGUUGGUGGGGUAGUGGCUUACCAAGGCUUUGACGGGUAGCCGGCAUGAGAGGGUGACCAGCCACAUUGGGACUGAGAUACGGCCCAGACUCCUACGGGAGGCAGCAGUGGGGAAUAUUGCACAAUGGGCGGAAGCCUGAUGCGGCAACGCCGCGUGCGGGAUGACGGCCUUCGGGUUGUAAACCGCUUUCGCCUGUGACGAAGCGUGAGUGACGGUAAUGGGUAAAGAAGCACCGGCUAACUACGUG